UACCCCCCUAGUUCCCCCAUAGCCCCAUUCUCCCCCAUAGACCCCUAUUAAACCUCCCAAAGCCCCUCAUUUACCCCCUCCAUUACCCCCUAUAUCCCCCAAUAGCCCCCCAUUACCGCCACAGCCCCCCAUUACCGCCCCAUAGCCCCGCAUUACUCCCCUUAGCCCCCCCUUAACCCCAUAUACCCCCUAUUAACCCCGCCAUAUCCCCCUAUUACCGCCCAUAGCCCCGCCAUUAUCCCCCAUUUACCUCGCCUACAAUCCCUAUUACCCCAAUAUCCCCCUACACGGCCCAUAAUCCGCACCUAUUACCCCCCAUAUCACCCCAUUAAACGCCCCCAUAUCCCCCAUUAACCCCCAUAAUCCCCCCUAUUACCGGUGCCCAUGCCGCCCAUUACCUAUAUCCCCCCAUAGCCCCAUUACCCCCCAUAGCCCCCAUUGCCCCCCACAGCCCCCCAUUACCCCCAUAGCCCGCUAUUACCCCCAUAUCCCUAUACCCCCCCAUAGCCCCCUAUUACCCCCCAUAGCCCCCCUUAACCCCAUAUCCCCUAUUACCCCCGCAAUCAUCCGCCCUAUUACCCCACCAAUAAGACGCACCAUUACCCCCCCUAUAGGACCCCUAGAGCCCCCAUUACCCAAUCCUAACCUUAAUCCCAAUCCUAAUCCCAAUCCUAAUCCCAUUAAUCCCAUUAAUCCCAAUCCUAAUCCCAUUAAUCCCAAUCCCAUUGAUCCCAAUCCUAAUCCCAUUAAUCCCAAUCCCAUUGAUCCCAAUCCCAAUCCCAUUAAUCCCAAUCCUAAUCCCAUUAAUCCCAUUAAUCCCAAUCCCAUUAAUCCCAAUCCUAACCCUAAUCCCAAUCCUAAUCCCAUUAAUCCCAUUAAUCCCAAUCCCAUUGAUCCCAAUCCCAUUAAUCCCAAUAUAAUCCCAAUCCCAUUGAUCCCCAUCCCAUUGAUCCCAAUAUAA
rnacentral:lncRNA from 1 species